rnacentral:lncRNA from 1 species
CUUCCACUGAGUCACGUUCCCAUCCCUGACCAAUUCCUUUUACACCAUAAAAUACAGAGACUCGUGUCAUUCUGGCUGAGUGCCAACUACGUGGCUGUGCUUUGGACAGUCGUGAGGCUGGUUUUCUAAUGACUCACGGGCUUCUUAGAACUGGCUAUCUGGCUGAAACAGGCUUAAUUUCUCCUAUUGAUUCUGGUAGUUGCAGUCCACAUGGGUCACCCCCAAGAGAGCAGGUGCUGUUUCCUUGAUCAGAGUAUUAGUUUGAUACAGACAUCCCGGGAAUGCUUAGGAGACGGAUAGUCUCCCUUGGGUGUUCCCACCUGCCUGUGGGCAUCACUGGCCAGUUCACAGGACCCAGGGAUGAAUUUGGGAUCCAGAGCUAUGUGGAAGCCUCACUCUCCCCUCUGUUCUUCCUAACUAUUUUCACACGUCAAUUGGGCAAAAUGAGACCUCUAAUGACCUUGUCUGGGUGUGUCACUGUUAGAGACUCCUAAACAGGCCAGUCUUGGUGGUCACAGACAGCUGCUCAGAGGCCUUGUUCUCUGCCUUUCUGUAUGUCCAAGCCCUCUGCUCUCUACCUUGGUGACGGGCCUAAGCUUCCAUCUUACAUAGGGAACCUGCCAAGACCCCCCUGCCCUGGCUGACCUGCCUCCCUGACCGGUUCUCCUGAUUCCCGUGUAGUCCUUAGAGGGCGAAGAAGAAUCAUCCUCCUUGGUCUCCCACCUGCCUUGAAUACCAUGACCGUGGAGGCUGCAUCCAGUUGGUUGUAUCUCAGUCCAUGGUUGGAGCAUGCUUUUUUUUUUCUGUGCCCAUUUCUUGGGAUGGAGAGUGGAAAGACAAGAUCAGCCAGACCCAAUGCCCAUCUCUAAUGACCUAUAAUGACCAGCUAGCUCCCAAAGGAACUGGCCUUGGGUAAAGGGGGAGUCUGUUGCUUGCAGAAGCAGGGGGCAGCUGAGUCUGAGGUCUGCGAGGAGAAGGAGCUAGUAGUGCCACUGGGCAGCCCCACCUGGCAGGGAGAUUUGAUGGGACCAUAUCUCCACUUUUCUGUGGGACCAGGAUGUCCCAGCAUUUCCUUUUGACCAAGGAGCCUGUGUUCCCUGUCUCAGUGGAUGAUGCCAUCUGCAGCCACCAGUUCCGAAAGCUGUGAGUCAGCUGGAUCCUCCCCUGAGCCUCACUGCCCCCAAACCCCAGAAUCCACCUCCUCAACUCUCGUACCUGCCACCUUUCCACUCCUGUCCACCUCCACCUGUUCACACCUGGUCUUCCCUCUAGUCUGCUCUCUCCCUGCUUGUACCUCCUUAUCUCCUGCUCCCACAAAACUACCUACAGGCACAUUGCCAAAAACCUGCUUGCCUAAGGACCGAUUCUCCCAAAAACCAGCUUACCUCAAAUUAAAUAUUCUUGAAUGUUUUCAGAGCUAUUUGACCUUCCUAUU